UUGUGUUUUUUCCAUAUAAUUAACACAAGUAAUGUGUACCGUCAACAAAUUUUUUUUUUUUAAAUUUGAACUCCAUACAAAGUCUUAAUCCGGGGUCCACAAGUAAGAGAAAGGUAUUUUUUACUCAGACAAUAUAGCCAGACAGACUUGAAUGCUAAUUGGUGUUAAGAUGUCUGUAGUUAAAAUAAAGUUGGGCCCAAUAAACUGGUAGAUCAAAGGCCUGUUGAGCGCUCAUGCCCGGUGUGAUUUUAACAAUUGACUCCAAAUGCGUUGACAAGAAAAUAAGUAAAACUGUUAUUGAAUGUGAUUGGUUGAUAAAAUCAACGUACUAUAGGCUACAUUUUGUCUGCGAUAUCAUCUCGGUGGAAGCGGACAUUAAAUGAAGUGAUUUCACACAAUUAAUUUAACAUUUAACAACGUGCUGAAAUGAUUUUGGAGCAGUGAUAUGUUUGACAAAUGUAAGCUAAUGGUCACAUAGAAUACAAGACCGCAGAAUCACAUUAUGAUUAAAGCAGAAACGGCUCGACUUGAACCAGCAGACGGAAGAUAUGGACGAACAACAAGAAGAAGUUAUGGAGGUCCCAACAACUGAACCUAUGGAAGUAGAAGAAUCGUUUACAGCCGAAACCCGAUACGAUGUGCCAGUUCCGGUCAUGGAGUCCUCCAUCUCAGACGAUGCCGACGUUAGUGUCUUCUGCGACGAAGAACCCGUAGUGGUGUAUACGCAGGUAGAAGCUGGUUCCUCCCGUGGCAAGUCCAAGUUGUUU